AUUCCAGCUCUGUAAGCGUAUACCAAAGUUGUUGCAGUUAAAACGCUCGUAGUCGAACCUUGGCGUGAGUUACGGAGGCUCCUAAUGGACGUUGAAGUAACUCCGCCUUUGUGGAGGGGGGUGUGGUGUUACUUAAUUGUAUUGCCGCAUUUCCGCCACUGUUUACUGUGAAAAAAUUAGAGUGUUCAAAGCGAGCGUUUGCCAUGAAUACAUUAGCAUGGAAUAAUAGAAUAGGACCUGGUCCUGUUUUAUUGGUUUGUCUGUAUCAGGUAAUGAUUAACAGGGACGGUCGGGGGCAUUUGUAUUCCAGCGUUAGAGGUGAAAUUCUUGGAUCGCUGGAAGACAAACAGCUGCGAAAGCGUCUGCCAAGGACGUUUUCAUCA
rnacentral:rRNA from 1 species